CAUAGGUGGAUUCCAGCCCUCUACACAGUUCUAAUUCUAGCAUGUCAUCGAUACACACCUUUCCUUUUCCGCCAUCAUGCCAUGCAAAACCAACAAUCUCCUUUACAUAUAUACAUCUCUCAAACUAACCAGAUCAAAAGGGAAGUAACAUAUCAUCAAUAGCUGAACAUGAACAUCAUAACAGGAAUCCUGCUGCUGCAGAUGCUGACUGGAUUGCAGAGUCAGAUAUUGUCUGAGUCUGAACCAGCUGUUGUAAAACCUGGUCAAUCUCAUAAACUGACCUGCACUGCUUCUGGGCUGGACUUUGAUGGCUACUGGAUGGCUUGGAUCAGGCAGGCUCCUGGGAAAGGGCUUGAGUUUGUUGCAAUUAUCGAGAAUGACAGUAAUCGCAAAUUUUAUUCAACCGCUGUUCAAGGGAGAUUCACCAUCUCCAGAGACAACAAUGUGGACCAGCUGUAUCUGCAGAUGAACAGUCUGAAGACCGAGGACACGGCUGUUUAUUACUGUGCCCGAGACACACAGUCACAAAAGAGGCUGCCUUGCAGUACAAGAAAUAACAAUCUACUUUUACAUUCCAGAGUUCUAUUUUUCAUUUUUUUUUUACUUCUGUUUUAUUUCAAAUACAUAAUUGAAAUGCACGUGGUAUAUAUAAAGCAAUAAGGUGUUGCCUUUUUG